UGCAUUCACUACUGUAAGUCGCUCUGGAUAAGAGCGUCUGCUAAAUGUAGCGGA
rfam:Salmo salar isolate Sally breed double haploid chromosome ssa17, whole genome shotgun sequence.